rnacentral:lncRNA from 13 species
GGCUGCAGUGGUUGUCGUAGAUGCUAAAGCUGUUGUAGGAGCUGCAGUUAUCGUAGGAGCUACAGUUGUUGGAGGUGCUGUGGUUGUGGUUGUCGUAGUAGGAGCUGCAGUUGUGGUUGUCGUAGUAGGAGCUGCAGUUGUCGUGGGAGCUACAGUUGUUGGAGGUGCUGUUGUUGUGGUUGUCGUAGGAGCUAAAGUUGUAGUUAUUGUAGAAGGUGCUGCAGUCACCGUUGUUGUUAGAACAGCAGUUGUUGUAGUAGGAGCUGCACUGGUUGUCGUAGUAGGUUGUGGAGUUACAGUGGUCGUAGGAGCAGCAGUUGUUGUAGUUAGGGCUGCAGUGGUUGUUGUAGAUGCUAAAGCUGUUGUAGGAGCUGCAGUUAUCGUGGGAGCUACAGUUGUUGUAGGUGCUGUUGUUGUGGUUGUCGUAGGAGCUGAAGUUGUAGUUGUUGUAGUUGUUGUAGCAGAAGCUGCAGUGGUUGUCGUAAUAGGUUCUAGAGCUGUAGUGGUCGUAGGAGCAGCAGUUGUUGUUGUUUGGGCUGCAGUGGUUGUCGUAGAUGCUAAAGCUGUUGUAGGAGCUGCAGUUGUCGUGGGAGCUACAGUUGUUGGAGGUGCUGUUGUUGUGGUUGUCGUAGGAGCUGAAGUUGUAGUUGUUGUAGCAGGAGUUGCAGUUGGUGUCGUAAUAGGUUCUGGAGCUGUAGUGGUCGUAGGAGCAGCAGUUGUUGUUGUUAGGGCUGCAGUGAUUGUCGUAGAUGCUAAAGCUAUUGUAGGAGCUGCAGUUUUCGUGGGAGCUACAGUUGUUGGAGGUGCUGUUGUUGUGGUUGUCGUAGGAGCUGAAGUUGUAGUUGUUGUAGCAGGAGCUGCAGUGGUUGUCGUAAUAGGUUCUGGAGCUGUAGUGGUCGUAGGAGCAGCAGUUGUUGUUAUUAGGGCUGCAGUGGUUGUCGUAGAUGCUAAAGCUGUUGUAGGAGCUGCAGUUAUCGUGGGAGCUACAGUUGUUGGAGGUGCUGUUGUUGUGGUUGUCUUAGGUGCUGAAGUUGUAGUUAUUGUAGAAGGUGCUGCAGUCACUGUGGUCGUUAGAACAGCAGUUGUUGUAGUAAGAGCUGCACUGGUUGUCGUAGCAGGUCGUGGAGUUACAGUGGUCGUUGGAGCAGCAGUUGAUGUAGUUAGGUCUGCAGUGGUUGAAGUAGAUGCUAAAGCUGUCGUGGGAGCUACAGUUGUUGGAGGUGCUGUUGUUGUGGAUGUCGUAGGAGCUGAAGUUGUAGUUGUUGUAGAAGGAGCUGCAGUCGUUGUCGUAAUAGAUUCUAGAGUUGUUGUGGUCGUUGGAGCAGCUAUUGUUGUAGUUAGAGCUGCUGUGGUUGUCGUAGAGGCAGCUGCUGUGGUUGACGUAGAAGUUACAGUUGUUGUAUCAGGAGCUGUAGUUGUGAUUGUUGUAGUAAGUACAGCAGGUGGAGUGGUCGUGGGAGCUACAGUUGUAGGAACUGCAGGUGUUGUAGUAGUUGCUGUUGUUGUGGUUGUCGUAGGAGCUGAAGUUGUAGUUGUUGUAGCAGGAGCUGCAGUGGGUGUCGUAAUAGGUUCUGGAGCUGUAGUGGUCGUAGGAGCAGCAGUUGUUGUUGCUAGGGCUGCAGUGGUUGUCGUAGAUGCUAAAGCUGUUGUAGGAGCUGCAGUUGUCGUGGGAGCUACAGUUGUUGGAGGUGCUGUUGUUGUGGUUGUCGUAGGAGCUGAAGUUGUAGUUGUUUUAGCAGGAGCUGCAGUGGAUGUCGUAAUAGGUUCUGGAGCUGUAGUGGUCGUAGGAGCAGCAGUUGUUGUUAUUAGGGCUGCAGUGGUUGUCGUAGAUUCUAAAGCUGUUGUAGGAGCUGCAGUUAUCGUGGGAGCUAAAGUUGUUGGAGGUGCUGUUGUUGUGGUUGUCGUCGGUGCUGAAGUUGUAGUUAUUGUAGAAGGUGCUGCAGUCACUGUGGUCGUUAGAACAGCAGUUGUUGUAUUAAGAGCAGCACUGGAUGUCGUAGUAGGUCGUGGAGUUACAGUGGUCGUAAGAGCAGCAGUUGAUGUAGUUAGGUCUGCAGUGGUUGAAGUAGAUGCUAAAGCUGUUGUAGGAGCUGCAGUUACCGUGGGAGCUACAGUUGUUGGAGGUGCUGUUGUUGUGGAUGUCGUAGGAGCUAAAGUUGUAGUUGUUGUAGCAGGAGCUGCAGUGGUUGUCGUAAUAGGUUCCAGAGUUGUUGUGGUCGUUGGAGCAGCUAUUGUUGUAGUUAGAGCUGCUGUGGUUGUCGUAGAGGCAGCUGCUGUGGUUGACGUAGAAGUUACAGUUGUUGUAUCAGGAGCUGUAGUUGUGAUUGUUGUAGUAAGUACAGCAGGUGAAGUGGUCGUAGGAGCUACAGUUGUAGGAACUGCAGGUGUUGUAGUAGUUGCUGUUGUUGUGGUUGUCGUAGGAGCUGAAGUUGUAGUUGUUGUAGCAGGAGCUGCAGUUGUUGUAGUUAGGGCUGCAGUGGUUGUCGUAGAUGCUAAAGCUGUUGUAGGAGCUGCAGUUGUCGUGGGAGCUACAGUUGUUGGAGGUGCUGUUGUUGUGGUUGUCGUAGGAGCUGAAGUUGUAGUUGUUGUAGCAGGAGCUGCAGAUGUUGUAGUUAGGGCUGCAGUGGUUGAAGUAGAUGCUAAAGCUGUUGUAGGAGCUGCAGUUAUCGUGGGAGCUACAGUUGUUGGAGGUGCUGUUGUUGUGGUUGUCGUAGGAGCUGAAGUUGUAGUUGUUGUAGCAGGAGCUGCAGUGGUUGUCGUAAUAGGUUCUAGAGUUGUAGUGGUCGGUGGAGCAGCAAUUGUUGUUGUUAGAGCUGUUGUGGUUGUCGUAGAGGCAGCUGCUGUGGUUGACAUAGAAGUUACAGUUGUUGUAUCAGGAGAUGUAGUUGUGAUUGUUGUAGUAAGUACAGCAGGUGGAGUGGUCGUGGGAGCUACAGUUGUAGGAACUGCAGGUGUUGUAGUAGGUGCUGUUGUUGUGGUUGUCGUAGGAGCUGAAGUUGUAGUUAUUGUAGAAGGUGCUGCAGUCACUGUGGUCGUUAGAACAGCAGUUGUUGUAGUAGGAGCUGCACUGGUUGUCGUAGUAGGUUGUGGAGUUGCCGUGGUCGUAGGAGCAGCAGCUGUUGUAGUUAGGGCUGCAGUGGUUGUCUUAGCUGCUAAACCUGUUGUUGGAGCUGCAGUUGUCGUGGGAGCUUCAGUUGUUGUAGGUGCUGUUGUUGGGGUUGUCAUAGGUACUGAAGUUGUAGUUGUUGUAGCAGGAGCUGCAGUGGUUGUCGUAAUAGGUUCUGGAGUUACAGUGGUUGUUGGAGCAGCAGUUGUUGUAGUUAGGGCUGCAGUGGUUGAAGUAGAUGCUAAAGCUGUUGUAGGAGCUGCAGUUAUCGUGGGAGCAACAGUUGUUGGAGGUGCUGUUGUUGUGGUUGUCGUAGGAGCUGAAGUUGUAGUUUUUGUAGCAGGAGCUGCAGUGGUUGUCGUAAUAGGUUCUAGAGUUGUAGCGGUCGUUGGAGCAGCAAUUGUUGUUGUUAGAGGUGUUGUGGUUGUCGUAGAGGCAGCUGAUGUGGUUGACGUAGAAGUUACAGUUGUUGUAUCAGGAGCUGUAGUUGUGAUUGUUGUAGUAAGUACUGCAGGUGCUGUGGUCGUGGGAGAUACAGUUGUAACAACUGCAGGUGUUGUAGUAGGUGCUGUUGUUGUGGUUGUCGUAGGAGCUGAAGUUGUAGUUAUUGUAGAAGGUGCUGCAGUCACUGUGGUCAUUAGAACAGCAGUUGUUGUAGUAGGAGCCGCACUGGUUGUCGUAGUAGGUUGUGGAAUUUCCGUGGUCGUAGGAGCAGCAGCUGUUGUAGUUAGGGUUGCAGUGGUUGUCUUAGCUGCUAAAGCUGUUGUUGGAGCUGUAGUUGUCGUGGGAGCUACAGUUGUUGGAGGUGCUGUUGUUGUGGUUGUCGUAGUAGCUGAAGUUGUAGUUGUUGUAGCAGAAGCUGCAGUGGUUGUCGUAAUAGGUUUUGGAGUUGUAGUGGUCGUUGGAGCAGCAGUUGUUGUAGUUAGAGCUGCAGUGGUUGUUGUAGAGGCAGCUGCUGUGGUUGACGUAGAAGUUAAAGUUGUUGUAUCAGGAGCUGUAGUUGUGAUUGUUGUAGUAAGUACAGCAGGUGGAGUGGUCGUGGGAGCUACGGUUGUAGGAACUGCAGGUGUUGUAGUAGGUGCUGUUGUUGUGGUUGUCGUAGGAGCUGAAGUUGUAGUUGUUGUAGAAGGUGCUGCAGUCACUGUGGUCGUUAGAACAGCAGUUGUUGUAGUCGGAGCAGCACUGGUUGUCGUUGUAGGUUGUGGAGUUACAGUGGUCGUAGGAGCAGCAGUUGUUGGAGGUGCUGUUGUUGUGGUUGUCGUGGCAGCUGAAGUUGUAGUUGUUGUAGCAGGAGCUGCAGUGGUUGUCGUAAUAGGUUCUGGAGCUGUAGUGAUAGUAGGAGCAGCAGUUGUUGUUGUUAGGGCUGCAGUGGUUGUCGUUGAUGCUAAAGCUGUUGUAGGAGCUGCAGUUGUCGUGGGAGCUACAGUUGUUGGAGGUGCUGUUGUUGUGGUUGUCGUAGGAGCUGAAGUUGUAGUUGUUGUAGAUGGUGUUGCAGUCGUUGUUGUCGUAAGAGCUGCAGUUGUUGUAGUAGGAGCUGUACUGGUUGUCGUAGUAGGUUCUGGAGUUGUAGUGGUCGUAGGAGCAGCAGUUGUUGUAGUCAGAGCUUCAGUUGUCGUAGGAGCUGCAGUUGUCAUGGGAGCUACAGUUGUUGUAGGUGCUGUCAUUGUGGUUGUCGUAGGAGCUGAAGUUGUUGUAGUAGGAGCUGCACUGGUUGUCGUGGUAGGUUCUGCAGUCGUAGCAGUCGUAGGAGUAGGUUCUGUCGUAGUAGGUUUUGGAGUUGUAGUGGUCGUAGGAGCAGCAGUUGUUGUCGUCAGAGCUUCAGUUGUCGUAGGAGCUGCAGGUGGCCUGGGAGCUACAGUGGUCAUUGUAGGUGUUACCUUUGUAGUGUCCGUAGGAGCUACAGUUGUAGUCGGGUCUAUAGUUGUAGUCGUAGUAGGAGCUAUAUUAAUUGCUGUAGGAGUUACAGUUGUUGCUGUAGUUUCUGCUGUUGUAGUGGUCAUAGGAGCUACAGUUGUAUUAGGAACUGCAGUUGUGGUUGUUGUAUUAGGUACUGCAGUUGUAGUUGUCGUUGGAGCUGCAGUUGUCGUUGGAGCUACAGUUGUCGAUGGAGCAACAGUUGUUGCCGUAGGAGCUGCAGUUGUUUUUGUCGUAAUAAGAUCUGCAGUUGCAGGAGAUGCAGUUGUGGAAGAUGCGGUUGUCGAAGAAACUCCAUGUAUAAUCCAACAUAAGAACACUGUGGUUUGUGAGAUGAAGGGUUAAAAUGUUUAUUGCGCACACUAUCAAUAUUUCCAAGA